AUACGGAGGGUGCAAGCGUUACUCGGAAUCACUGGGCGUAAAGCGCGCGCAGGCGGCUAUUUAAGUUGGAUGUGAAAGCCUACGGCUCAACCGUAGAACUGCAUCUAAAACUAUUUAGCUAGAGUGUGGGAGAGGAAGAUGGAAUUAGUCGUGUAGGGGUAAAAUCCGUAGAGAUAACUAGGAAUACCAAAAGCGAAGGCAAUCUUCUGGAACACUACUGACGCUGAGGAGCGAAAGCGUGGGGAGCAAACAGGAUUAGAAACCCGAGUAGUCC
rnacentral:rRNA from 1 species